rnacentral:rRNA from 1 species
UACGUAGGUGGCUAGCGUUGUCCGGAUUUACUGGGCGUAAAGAGCGCGCAGGCGGUCGUUCAAGUCGGGUGUGAAAGCCCCCGGCUCAACUGGGGAGGGUCACUCGAUACUGAUCGACUCGAAGGCAGAAGAGGGAAGCGGAAUUCCCGGUGUAGUGGUGAAAUGCGUAGAUAUCGGGAGGAACACCAGUGGCGAAGGCGGCUUUCUGGUCUGCUCUUGACGCUGAGGCGCGAAAGCUAGGGUAGCAAACGGG